rnacentral:rRNA from 1 species
UACGGAGGGGGCUAGCGUUGUUCGGAAUUACUGGGCGUAAAGCGCACGUAGGCGGCUUUGUAAGUUAGAGGUGAAAGCCCGGGGCUCAACUCCGGAAUUGCCUUUAAGACUGCAUCGCUAGAAUUGUGGAGAGGUAAGUGGAAUUCCGAGUGUAGAGGUGAAAUUCGUAGAUAUUCGGAAGAACACCAGUGGCGAAGGCGGCUCACUGGACCGGCAUUGACGCUGAGGUGCGAAAGCGUGGGGAGCAAACAGG